GAGGGGGGAGGGCGGCUUCAGUUGCGACUGAAGCCAAGAGAAAGCUGAACACAGUCCAACUGCAGAAGUCGGUGGCGUGUAACUGUCCUCAGCUGGCCUGAGAUCCGCCCUAACUGCCCUAACGGCUGAUGUAGCUGCACAGUGGUGGUGAGCCUGAGGUAAGCCUCCAGCUAAGACCGUUUGCACUCAGACUCAUUUUCAUCUCCAGCUUGCUCUGUAAGUUGGGUGUACCUCAACAAUAUCGUGGCAAACUACAGAUGGGCCAAGCCGGGAGGAAAACCAAUGACUCUUAAACCCAGGGUGCCAUGGAGACCCUCUAUAGUCCAGGACAGCAUGCGGUUUGCAGCUUGCCUUAUUAUAGAUGCUCUGUGAAUUCUUCCUGGACAUCCGGUCCCUUCUCUCACGGGUCCUCAGAACUUCUGCCAGAUGAGGUUUCUGUCCUAAGUGGGGGAAAUCUGCCUCAGGUUAUCUGAGGGCAGAGGCCGUGUGGACUCAGGCCUCUGUGCAACCAAGCUCCUCUAGGAGAGCCCAUCCUCACCCUGGGCAGAAUGCUGGGCUUCAUUCAUAUUCAUCGUCACUUGGAGCUGCACCUUUUCUCCAGUCUGUGCAGGGAUGUGCAUCACCAUGGCAACGCUAGAGGUGAAAUCACUCAAGUGUUGGCAAGCAGGGUUUCUCUCUGGAGCUUGGAAAAAUGGAGAGCAGGCUUGUGGUGUCACAGAAAGGAAGAUGCCCUUAGAAGAACCCAAGCAUUCUCUAUUCCAUUUGGGGACUUUCCCUUUAAAUAAAAACUGAACAGUAAAUGGAAAGAGAAAUGUUUUUAGUCUCUGGAUCUGCUACCCCAGUGAGCCUACUUGGAACGGACACGCUGAUCCUUCUGGCUUUCCUAACCUGCUGUACCUUGUAGACUGUUCUGCCUGGAGUUACUAUUUUAAAGAGCCCAUUCAACAUAAACUCAUCAAAUGCUUGACUCAAUGAUGAAGUCAGUGCCUUCUUCAUCCAAUGGUACCUCUGACUGGGGAUCAAGUCUUCAACAGGCCAGUCUCUUGAGGGAGGACUCUUCCCAUCCAAAUCCUAUCAGCCUCCAAGGAGUGAGCCCCCGGACUGAUAGAAUUGCUCUGGAAAACUGCCUGGCAUUCUCAAGGAGAGGCAGUCUCUUUCUGGGGAGGCAGCUCCAGGCAGCAUCCCCUCCUGGGCCAUAGCUAAGCGAGAAAAAUCUGAGCACUUUUCUCAUCAAGCUCAAAUCAACUGCGGGAAGCCUCAGAGGGGCCUUCUCUGUGCUUUCCUAGUCAUCUCCAUCUCGACAGUCCUACAGGUUCUGAACGUUAAUCAGUGUCAUCGCGAGUCUGCUGAUGUUACGGAGAACUUAAUUGGUUCUUUGGAGGAAAAUGAGUCACCAUCAGGAGAAUAAGCUGCAGGGCAGGAACACACAAGGGGAAAGGGAAAUGAAACUGUACGCGGAAAAGAUCAAGUGUGCCCUUAUGCUUCUCCUAGGCUGCAGUCCCAGAUGAGCCCACUUUUGCUGAUGGGGCUUAAAGAGGUUUUCAGAACCACGAAGACAAAAGGUAUUGCCUUCUCCUACCCCCAUCGCCUUUGUUUCCCUCUCUCCUUUUCUGCAUGUGCAGCCAUAUCCAGUGGAGGGGGAAGGGGACAGACCGUCCGCCUGACUGUCAGAGUUGAUCAUUGCUGACCUUAUCAAAACACAGAAUCAAUACUCUCUCCUCCCAGCAGUCCAGAAAAAAAUCAUAAGGAGUUUGAACUGAAGCAAUUUGAAGUGCAGAAUUGCAUGAAUCAGGAGACAAGGCAGUAAACUGUUGGGCCUCUGAAUCCUUCCAAGCCCUUCCUAAGAGUCAGGCAAGACCAAUAACAUCACUUGAAAUAACUGUUUCUGGGUGGAGAGGGAUCCAAAGAAGCUUUUGAUAACCAAGCCCACCUCCUGGAGAAAUGGUUUUUUAGGUUUGUGGUAGCAGGGUGCUUUUGAAAGAAGCCUGAAGGAGGGUGGGACUAGAGGCUGGGACCAUGGUCCUCACCUUCCUCAGGACCACUCAGUAGAACCUUUCCAGGCCUGGCCCUGGACAACUCUAUGGCCUUUUACAUUUGGAAUUCCAAGCUGGGUCACACCUCCUUCCCAUUUCUUUGUUCUUUUAAAAAAUAUUUUCUCCAGAUUUACUUUUUCUUUCCUUUUGAGU
rnacentral:sRNA from 1 species